GGCAAAGUCAGUCACUGCCAGAGUGGAUGGUGGUAUGGACAGUGGUGCUGGAGGUAGAAUGGCCCAGCCAGGACGCCUCCCUGGGUAGUUGUAUGACAGGCCGACUCCACAACCCUGUAAAUGUCCCGGCCUCCGAAAAACCGUACAAGACGCUUCCCCAUAGCUCCAAAGGAAGAGGCUUCGUUCAGCCUUUGCGAGUGCCACAGUGGGCGCCGCCGCCAACGUGUCCCCCCUCUUCCACACACUGCGAGGGAGCCUACGUGGAGCUGGCACCCAAGGGGUCAGGAGAAGCCCACGCGGCUCCAGAGCGAGCCCUCAAUAAGGGAGGGAGCCGACUGCCUGCAGAAGCGGGACAGAGCCAGCCAAGCGCGUCCUCGGCACCCGGACCGGCGCCGGCUAGUCAGCCUGCGGAGCCUCAGCAGGAGAACUGCCUGCGCUGUCAGACACGCUCCGAGCCAUCCGACCCCUAUCCAUCAGCGCGUCUGUCAAGCCCCAACUCUUCCAGACUCUUCUCUAGGUUCCUGAAAGGCCCGCGACCCCCAGUCUCGACCCCCACCGUCCUCACCCUGGUACCUGGCUGCUGGCACAUGACACUGUGCAUCCUGUCCCCUGUAUCCCUCAGGAUUCAGGGCCAGGCGCCGCAUCCUUCCUUCCCGACUCCCUGGAACCGACCCGGACCCCGACCCCGCCGCCGGC
rnacentral:lncRNA from 1 species